rnacentral:rRNA from 1 species
CAAAAACAUCGCCUCUUGAUCUAAUAAUAAGAGGUCCAGCCUGCCCAGUGACAUAUAGUUCAACGGCCGCGGUAUCCUAACCGUGCGAAGGUAGCGUAAUCACUUGUUCUUUAAUUGAGGACUAGUAUGAACGGCUUCACGAAGACUACACUGUCUCCUUUUUCUAAUCAAUGAAACUAAUCUCCCCGUGAAGAAGCGGGGAUAAACCUAUAAGACGAGAAGACCCUAUGGAGCUUUAAACGAUCGAAAUAUUUGCUACCCCACUUUUCACCUCCUGAGAACUAAAUAUAUUUUCAGCAUCUUAAUUUCUAGUUUUAGGUUGGGGUGACCACGGAGAACAAACUAACCUCCACGCUGAACGAGCCUUUCUCUUAGCAAAAAGUCACAACUUUAUGCAUCAAUACAUUGACUUCCAUUGACCCAAUUUUUGACCAACGAACCAAGUUACCCUAGGGAUAACAGCGCAAUCUACUUCGAGAGUUCUUAUCGACAAGUAGGUUUACGACCUCGAUGUUGGAUCAGGGCAUCCUAGUGGUGUAGCCGCUACUAAAGGUUCGUUUGUUCAACGAUUAAAACCCUACGUGAUCU